rnacentral:lncRNA from 1 species
UCUGUCUCUGUCCUUUUCCCGUUCCCUCUCCCGGUGGCUUGGCUUAUCAUGAGAACGUUUGCUCCUAUGCUUCUCCCCUUCUGUUGUCUCUUCCUUGGGAUUACUACUCGAAAUUCGUUUUGCAAAUUCAGCAGCUAAAGCCAAAUGAGGUGGUGGUGGUGUAUUCCCUGAGCCACCGUGGGCCACGGCUUCCUGUUCCUCGGCUGAGUAAUCUAUAGGAACCAAAGGUUUCAUCUUCUUAUCCUUGUGUGCUUCUUCUUCAUCCUCCUCAUAGAAAACAGAAGGCACAGAUGUCCGUUUUCCGGAUCCGACAAGCCCGAAUCCCAAUUUCUUGGAGGGAGCAUGUGCCUCAGACCCACUGUUAUUAUCAACAGCCAUGGACAUUUCAUUACCAGAGCCAUUUUGUUCCAUAUCUGCAAUUAGGAAAGGAGUCCAUUAGAAAGAGAUACAGAAGGAGAAAGGACAUACAUAGCCCAGUUUAUCUCGUAAGAAAAUAACUCUUCCUUUGUCUUUGGGAUUGUAUCUAUCAAUUGUUUGGCAUCCAUCAGCUUCUUGGUAUCAGGUGUCUUUGCUUUUCCAGAAUCUUUACCGUCUUUGGCUGAACCACCAUGCCCGUCGCCUCGGUCCCUGGCUCUGUCUCUGUCCUUUUCCCGUUCCCUCUCCCGGUGGCUUGGCUUAUCAUGAGAACGUUUGCUCCUAUGCUUCUCCCCUUCUGUUGUCUCUUCCUUGGGAUUACUACUCGAAAUUCGUUUUGCAAAUUCAGCAGCUAAAGCCAAAUGAGGUGGUGGUGGUGUAUUCCCUGAGCCACCGUGGGCCACGGCUUCCUGUUCCUCGGCUGAGUAAUCUAUAGGAACCAAAGGUUUCAUCUUCUUAUCCUUGUGUGCUUCUUCUUCAUCCUCCUCAUAGAAAACAGAAGGCACAGAUGUCCGUUUUCCGGAUCCGACAAGCCCGAAUCCCAAUUUCUUGGAGGGAGCAUGUGCCUCAGACCCACUGUUAUUAUCAACAGCC